GAUGAGGUUGCCCAGUGGCUAAGGCGAUGGACUGCUAAUCCGUUGGGUUCUGUCCGCGGGGUUUCGAAUUCUUUCCUCGUCG